rnacentral:rRNA from 1 species
GUGAGGAAUUUUCCGCAAUGGGCGAAAGCCUGACGGAGCAAUGCCGCGUGAAGGAUGAAGGCCUAUGGGUUGUAAACUUCUUUUCUUAGGGAAGAAUAUUGACGGUAUCUGAGGAAUAAGCAUCGGCUAACUCUGUGCCAGCAGCCGCGGUAAGACAGAGGAUGCAAGCGUUAUCCGGAAUGAUUGGGCGUAAAGCGUCUGUAGGUGGCUUCAAAAGUCUCCUGUCAAAGAUCAGGGCUUAACCCUGGGCCGGCAGGAGAAACUCUGAGGCUAGAGUUUGGUAGGGGCAGAGGGAAUUCCCGGUGGAGCGGUGAAAUGCGUAGAGAUCGGGAGGAACACCAAAGGCGAAAGCACUCUGCUGGGCCACAACUGACACUGAGAGACGAAAGCGAGGGGAGCAAAAGGGAUUAGAUACCCGUGUAGUCC